AGUGGAACCCUACAAAUUAUGUGAGGCAAUGAGAAAACUACGCGAAGACACAAAUUGUGAAAUUAGACAGUUUUCAAGUAAACUCAACUGUCUUUGUUUGAGAAUUCGUCGAAAACAUAAACAAGAGUUGUAUACUUUAAACUUAAUGAAAAAAUCCUACCUGUCAGGACAAGGACACAGAAAUUGGACAGAAUUGACAGAAAUUGACAAAAACAAGAGUGUUUCUUUAUAGAAUCGAAUAAGGUGGGCGAUACUACUUUUCGUAAAGUGGCAAUAACCACAAAUAU